CUCACGUUUUGCAAUAUCCCCCAUAAUUUUAGUAUACCAUAAUUUAUAUAGCAGCCCUUUAUUGAGGCUAUAUAUAUUCUUUCUAAGGCAUUUAUUAGAUGAAGACUUUACAUCAACUUUUUAAUUGUGGGAAGGCCAUACACGUAUUGGUAAUCAUCCUAAUUGGAGAAAUUCCAUACAAGGAAAUUGGCAGUAACGUUUGAGGAAAAAAAAAAUUUACGCUGAAGCAAAAAUGCGAAGAACGACAUAAGGUGGAAGCGUCGGUUUUCUCCGGGUAAUAGCAAAUCAGAAAUUUCUUCAAAGCAAAGUAAGGUGGAAGAAGAUUAUUUUUUUGCCAUAUUAGGCUAAAAGAGCGACGAGACGAACGGGUUACGAAUAGCCGCUAACAGGUACAGAUGCACAGUUUGGUGAUCCACCAGUUUAGGACACCCUCUUCUGCCGUUUGGAGUGCUCCUCUUAUUCCGGAGCCUACAUUUUGGUAUAUAUACUUGUUUGAUGCAUAUGUAUAUAUUUGUUCUGGGGUACGGCGGGGCACUGUUCCGCCAUAUGAUCCGUUUGGUCUAUUUAGAGGUCUGUAGACGUAUUUGUGGGUGUGUGUGCCUACUUCUGUACAAAUGUGUUUGUAUGACCCUGUUCGUUAUGGCAGCCUAGUCGGCGUGCACUUUGUAUAUGUUUUGGGCCGUUGCGCCAUCUGUUAGCCUUGUCGGCUUUUGAUACAUCUGUUAGCCUUGUCGGCUUUUGAUACUUUUGAUAGCCUUGUCGGCUUUUGAUACAUUUGAUAGCCUUGCCGGCUUUUCGAUAUAAGUAUAUGUAUAUGUUUGCGCUGAAAUGUGUCCGAUACAGUUUGACAUAGUUUGAGACGGCAUAUAGUGUUUAUGGCCGUAUAUGCUAUUUGGAUGUGAUCAGAUAUGGAUAGGUAUGUCAGGGUGCCCAAGUAGGGCGCCAGUCACGGCCUACGGGGUUGGGUCGUGACAGAAGUGGUAUCAGAGCGGUUUGUCCUCGGAAUGUCUACAGGCCGUGUCUAGUAGAGUCUUGUUUAUCGGUGUGUGGUGCACCACAUCUAUAAACAGGAGGCUACAGGACAUUUAGGAUGUUACCUUUCUUUCAUAUCUCAGAUCGUGCGAUAGAGCCCAGCCAUAGGAAAUGAAAUUCCUUUUACUAACCUUUAAUUUCAGCUGAAGAACGACAUCUACGGAAGAAGUGACCGACGACAUUGGAAACUACACAUUACGCAGGUAAGCAAUGGUGCGAAAGAGGCAUGUCGGAUAAGGUAAGAAUAUUGGAAUAUGAUUGAAAUGUAAAGUUGAAGGAUGAAAAGAAUGUGGACAGGAAGGUAUAAUAUGACAGAUCGUUAAAGGAUCAUGUACGCCUCAAGGUGUAAUAUGUGAGGUAAGUCCCGAUACCCUUAUACGUGUUCUGGAAAUUGGGAGCCCUGUGUGGCUAUGGUAUGAUACGAUAUAUGCGUAUAUGUGUUGGCCCUGUGAGGCAUUGUUGGUAUUUCCUGCGUGCAGGUUUUGAGAUAAAAAGAAAUACAGAGAAAAGUCGGUCAAAAUUUUCCUAGAAAUUAAUUACGGGGGUGAAUGAUUAUGAUUGGAUUAUUAUGAAAGAAAGGAAGUGGAAAAAUGUUGCAAACCAUGUCAGACUUAAUACCAUUAUUGAGCAAGAAAAAGGAUAGAUGAGUCCGAGUUUCAAGAAGGAUCAUAUCAAGAAAGUGAUUCACUUAUAUCUUUUGAAAGGAUAUUCCUGAGGAAUCAAGGGAGUAUUGCGACCAAAAGUCAUUACUAAGAAGGAAACUCGUUUUCAACUAUUUAAAAGAAAUGUUAUUAAUAGAUGUCAAGUGGAGAAUGACAUUAGGCUAAAUAAAGAGAGGUACAUCGUGAUAGAUAAGUUCGAGUUACAAUUGAUUUGUUAUGAGAUCACCAUAACCGGUAUGCUUAUACGCGACUAGUUUAACAUUCGAGGACGAAUGUUCUAAAGGGGGGAAGGAUGUUGCAUCCCGCAUUUUUCACAAGUUGGAAAGCGUACGAGUUCAAUGACAUUAGUAACGGAAUAAGUUUGAUGAAUUUUGAAACUGUUAUAUAUGGUCUUGAUAUGGUAUUUUCUUUUAAGUAAACCCCUUUUAGUAGAUAUUUGAUAAGCAUGAUUUUCUAUAGUUAUUACUGUUACUACUUCUGUGAUACAUUUUUAAUUAUGUGUGCGGUAUGAGGACAUUUAGAAAAUGAGAUUUUAUUUGUUAUGGGUACAUAAAUUAUUUUCUCUUAUGAAAAGCUAUCUUUUUCCAUUAUGAGAAUUGAUAGUACAAUAAUUUGUACUCUUGAUGUUAGGUUGAGGAAAGAUUAUCAUUUGACGAACAUGAUUUCUAGAUGUAUUAGUUUUUGUGAAAUACGUGUAUGUCUUAAGUUGAUAUGAUAUUUCAAUAACAAAAGUUUUGGAAGCUUAUGUAUUUCAAAGAAAUAUUAAAAUAUUAGUGUAUGAGAUUAUAUCUUAUGAUUUUACUUUUUAUAUUAAAAUAAUUGGAG